CAAGUAUUCGUGAAGUUUUGAACUGAAAAAAAUAACUUUAGGGUUCUUUCAAGAGUAUCCCAAUAAUAACACUGUAAUUGUUUGUUUGUAUUCCCUUAUGUUUUCUUCAGUAGGAGACAUCCCAUCUACACAAUACAGCCCAAAUGAUCAGCUGCAUUCCUGCACAGCCAUCUCUUCAGUAUAUAUAAAUGAAGGAGAAGAGCAGUAUGAUUUUAUUACCAAAUUCACAAAAGGGACAAGCUGUGAAACGUCUAGAUUCCAGAGCAACAGACUGUGAUCCAUUCCCAGCAACCCCUCCCUACCGUCUGCCACAAGCUCCCAUAAAGCAGGAAUCAGAGCUAGACUGGCUCAGCUUAGAAUUGUUUUGGAGAACUUGGAACUCAACAUUCCAUAAAGUAAGUGUAGUCUUUUUUAUAAAGAAUUUUAUCCUCCUUUCACUAGUGUCAUUCAAAUUUUAUCACCAAUAGCUCUAUAAACAUCAGCCUGAAAGCACAUGGAAGCAUAUUUCCUAAGGCUGCUAAAGCAUUCAUUCUCAACCCCAACUGAACAGUAGAUAUGUUGCCUUGCAAAGAGGUUAAUAAACAGGGCAUAGAAGGUCAAGGAUUCUAAGCCAGGAGCAAAUCCCACACCAUGCAACUUAAACAGUACAUUAUUCCAGGAUAAUGCAAUCACUGGAGCUGUACUUACACGACAAAUCUUAAAAGUGUCAUUCCAUUAUAAAAAGGACUUUGAGAACAUUAGUAAUCCUAGUCCAUCAGGAAAGUCCUUCAUUCAACUCAUGGUCCAAUCAAAACUGCCUUAAUGUUAUAGACUUUGAUAUGGACUAUGUAGCAUCUAGAAUUAUUUGCUAUAUUGAAUUUAUUACUGUGUUUGGCUGACUUUUUUUUUUAACUCAAGACAUGCUGAUAACUUUUAUGCUAAUGAAGGAGAAGGCAAAACAAAAGCAUGAUGGAAAGUAUAAAGAUUGGACUGCAGAAGAUAUGUGAAUACUUUGAUUAUCCUGUUUGAUAUUGCCUUAUUUUUGGGAGAAGAAAAGGAUGAAUGUUAGUAAGUCCAUCUUACAGAGAAAGAAAUGAAGGGUCAGAAAAAAGCUUAUGUGGCUCGUAAGUGGUGGAGUGAAACCCAAAUGCCAGUAUAUAGCCAAUAUUCCAGAGAAAGGGAAAUUUCUAUAACAAGGCCACCAAACUUUUAGCGUAUUAAGUAAGGCACUUCUAUAUUUUCUAGAUAUUAUCCUUUUGCAAAUACUUUUCAUUUCAUAUAGGUAUCUAAUUAUUGUAUCCGCAAUUGUUGAAAAGACUCAACUGUUUCCCACUGAAUUGUUUUAGUGCCAAAGUAGAAAUAGAUCAACUGUAUAUGGGUGGUCGACUCUCUUUUUUGAUACAUUGAUGUUUUGUUCUUAUUUUGUCAAAACUGUUUUGAUCCUUCCAGGUCAUUUGCAUUACCACACAAACACAUGAAGCUUAUUCAUUUCUACAAGAAAAGUCUGUUGGGGUUUUGAUUAGUAUUGUUUUGAAUCUAAACAUGAGUUUGAGUAGAAGUCACUUAUUAACAAUACCUGUGUUGAAUAAUUCUAGAUUAUGAAUGCAGCAUAUCUUUCCAUUUAUUUAGGUUCUCUUUAAAUUCUCUCAGCAAUAUCUUAUUGUUUUCAGUGUACUUGUAUCUGUGCAUUAUUUUGCAUAUUGUGAUGCUUUCAAAAUGAUAUUUUAAAAAUUUUAUUUUAAAACAGCUCACUGACAAUAUGUAUUUAUAUU
ensembl:lncRNA